rnacentral:rRNA from 1 species
CCCUUAGAUGUUCUGGGCAGCACGCGCGCUACAAUGGUCUUCGCAAACGGAUGCAUUCUCGAAGGAGAAUGCCAAUCUUGGAAUCUAUGCCUUGGUCGGGACAGUUGCUUGCAAUUUUUAGACUCGAACCAGGAAUUCCUUGUAAUCGUGAUUCAUCACAUCACGAUGAAUACGUCCCUGCCCUUUGUACACACCGCCCGUCGCUCCUACCGAUCGAAGAGUUAGGUGAAUUGUUUUGAUCGAUAAGAUUUGACUAUGGUCAACUCUCGUUGUGAAAUUCUGUGAAUCUGACUGUUUAGAGGAAGGAAAAGUCGUAACA